GGCUCGAGGACGAACGCUGGCGGCGUGCCUAAUACAUGCAAGUCGAACGGUCUUUCUAUGGAAGCUUGCUUCCACUGAGAAGAUAGUGGCGAACGGGUGAGUAACACGUGGGUAACCUGCCCAUAAGAGGGGGAUAACAUCCGGAAACGGGUGCUAAUACCGCAUAGUUUUCUUGAUUGCAUGAUUGAGAAAGGAAAGACGGCCUUUGUGCUGUCGCUUAUGGAUGGACCCGCGGCGUAUUAGUUAGUUGGUGAGGUAACGGCUCACCAAGACGAUGAUACGUAGCCGACCUGAGAGGGUGAUCGGCCACAUUGGGACUGAGACACGGCCCAAACUCCUACGGGAGGCAGCAGUAGGGAAUCUUCCGCAAUGGACGAAAGUCUGACGGAGCAACGCCGCGUGAGUGAAGAAAGGUUUUCGGAUCGUAAAACUCUGUUGUCAGAGAAGAACAAGUUGGAGAGUAACUGCUCCAGCCUUGACGGUAUCUGACCAGAAAGCCACGGCUAACUACGUGCCAGCAGCGGC
rnacentral:rRNA from 1 species